GGCGAACGGGUGAGUAACACGUGAGUAACCUGCCCAUCACUCUGGGAUAAGCACUGGAAACGGUGUCUAAUACUGGAUAUGCACAAUGGCCGCAUGGUCUGUUGUGGGAAAGAUUUAUCGGUGGUGGAUGGACUCGCGGCCUAUCAGCUUGUUGGUGAGGUAAUGGCUCACCAAGGCGACGACGGGUAGCCGGCCUGAGAGGGUGACCGGCCACACUGGGACUGAGACACGGCCCAGACUCCUACGGGAGGCAGCAGUGGGGAAUAUUGCACAAUGGGCGCAAGCCUGAUGCAGCAACGCCGCGUGAGGGAUGACGGCCUUCGGGUUGUAAACCUCUUUUAGUAGGGAAGAAGCGCAAGUGACGGUACCUGCAGAAAAAGCACCGGCUAACUACGUGCCAGCAGCCGCGGUAAUACGUAGGGUGCAAGCGUUGUCCGGAAUUAUUGGGCGUAAAGAGCUCGUAGGCGGCUUGUCGCGUCUGCUGUGAAAACCCGAGGCUCAACCUCGGGCUUGCAGUGGGUACGGGCAGGCUAGAGUGCGGUAGGGGAGAUUGGAAUUCNUGGUGUAGCGGUGGAAUGCGCAGAUAUCAGGAGGAACACCGAUGGCGAAGGCAGAUCUCUGGGCCGCUACUGACGCUGAGGAGCGAAAGCAUGGGGAGGGAACAGGAUUAGAUACCAUGGUAGUCCAUGCCGUAAACGUUGGGAACU
rnacentral:rRNA from 1 species